rnacentral:rRNA from 1 species
UACGUAGGUGGCAAGCGUUGUCCGGAAUUAUUGGGCGUAAAGCGCGCGCAGGCGGUCCUUUAAGUCUGAUGUGAAAGCCCACGGCUCAACCGUGGAGGGUCAUUGGAAACUGGGGGACUUGAGUGCAGGAGAGAAGAGUGGAAUUCCACGUGUAGCGGUGAAAUGCGUAGAGAUGUGGAGGAACACCUGCGGCGAAGGCGGGUUGCUGGGCUGACACUGACGCUGAUGCGCGAAAGCCAGGGGAGCGAACGGG